AAGUUUAGUUCAGAGGCUCAGCUUGACAUUCAUUGGUUUCUAAAUCGGAACCUCUUGAGCGAUUGUCCCAGCAAUCCCAGGGAUUGGGGCCUGAGCAAAUAGCCCCCGACUAAUUCUGCUGUAGUAGGGGGGAAACGAAGCAGUUAAAUGUCCGGUUUAUCAACAGAAAACAACAACUGAGCCUUUGUCCUAACAGGGUGCAGGAGGAAACCGUUUUGCAGGGCUCAUCUGCAUGAGAAACCCGGGCAGCUGGGAAACACCGACAUGCGGCUUGGGGGGAGACCCACGCAGACACUGGAGGAGAAAAAUAUUCCAUACAUCGGCUUUCUGUACCAGCACCUUCAAAAAGGAAGCUAAACUCGGGAAUUCUGAGUAGCAUCUCUGGAUGGCUGGACUGAGCUGAGGCUUCACAGAAACUUGAAGCUGAAACUCCUUAGACAAAAAAUCCCAUCUGGCUUUACAGGCCAUCCCUGCCUUUCCAGGGUAGGAGGGCAAUGGAGACAGAGCCACCUCCACCUGAAACAUUCCCUUCACAAACACAUCCUGAGCUCAGUGAAGAUGAGCAACAGAGGGCAUGGCAUCCUUCCAUCUGCUCCCGUUCUGGAGGAGAGAUAAACCC